CCUACGGGAGGCAGCAGUAGGGAAUAUUGCUCAAUGGGGGAAACCCUGAAGCAGCAACGCCGCGUGAAGGAUGAAGGUUUUCGGAUUGUAAACUCCUUUUGUUAGAGAAGAUAAUUACGGUAUCUAACGAAUAAGCACCGGCUAACUCCGUUCCGGCAGCCGCGGUACUACGGCGGGUGCAAGCGUUACUCGGAAUUACUGUGCGUAAAGAGCGCGUAGGCGGGAUAGCAAGUCAGCUGUGAAAUCCUAUGGCUUAACCAUAGAAAUGCAUUUGAAACUGGGAGUCUAGAGUAUGGGAGAGGUCGGUGGAAUUCGUGGUGUAGGGGUAAAAUCCGUAGAGAUCAAGAGGAACACUCAUUGCGAAGGCGACCUGCUAGAACAUAACUGACGCUGAGGCGCGAAAGCGUGGGGAGCAAACAGGAUUAGAUACCCCUGUAGUC
rnacentral:rRNA from 1 species